UCUCUCCUGCUUUUCAUUGGGCAACCCUUGCCUCCCUCCUGCUUGCAUGGUAUGACUCCUCCCUCUCUGCUACCCAUUGUUUCCCCAUACAGUAUCAGGGUGAGGGGAUGCCAUUCUGGCUCCAGCGAGGGACGUGGGAGACACAGAAGGAGCAUGCGACAAAGCAUCAUCUGGAGAUUCACUGCCAGUAACCUGUGAUGACGGGUGAGUCGUUUACUGGGUCGAUCUUGUUUUUUGAACCCCCUCAUCAUGCAUGCUGCACUCUCUUAAAACAAGUGGCCGAGAUCAUCAUUUGCGAUUCCAAACAUCUGGCUCGAGCAGAUUGUCCGAACGGGCUUCCAGCAGAGAGGGGCCAUGUAUGCUGUCAAGGGAUUAGAGCUAAUCCUGCCUGUGGUUAACAAUCACCUUUUUGUCUGGACAGAGUUUGUCAUGGAGGCUUUCGUAAUUUAUGCUGAGAUAUGCACAGCUCAUUGGUGGUGGCCUUCGGUGAAUGAAGAACUUUGCAGCAACUUUGCUCUCUGAGCUCGGUCUAAUAUUCCAAGCACUUUCAUGCAAAACACAUUUUCGAAGCAGAAAGAAAGAGUUGUAGUUUUCCGCUUGCCUCGCUUGGAACAGGUGCGUGUAAGUGGAAGAGGGGUGGCUCUCAGCACUGGAAAGUUGCAGCACAGCACGGGAAGAUGUGGGGAAAAAGGCAAGGGACGCUGUCUCAAAGCGCCUUUUGUUGCUUGAAUUGAAGACAAGAAUCAGAGACUGACAAAUACCUGGCCCCUACGCAGCCCAAAUACCUCUGUUGCACUUAAUACAAUGUCAAUAAAAGCCUUCUCUGUAGUCCAAAGUAGCCCGAUUCCACUCUGUACACAGCGAUUUUUUUUCUUUCUUGUUUGUACAACGGCUACUGUUCUCUGAGUGAGGAAAUCUGGCCUGGAGUCUCGACUCAAUGAAAACCAAGCACCUAACAACUGCUAACCUCCACCUCUUUUUGCCUGUAUCGCUGUGACCUGAUCAACAUGGGAUGGGCCUAUCAUAUAAAUGUGCCUUAGACAAGAGUCAAGUGCAUCAUGGCACCUCUCAGAGGAGGAAAGGCUUCAGCGAUAUUCUGUACUCACGACAGUUCUGAUAAAACUGCCACUCUCGAGGCCUUUCCACUGUACUGUAGCCUGAAUGAUCCAGCAUGGAGUCACUUCUAACAUUGCACAUUCCAGCAUUUCCACUGCUCCAGCCUCCAUCGCAAAUGAUGCUCAUUGGCUGAAUUGAUGAGACGAUAGGCUCCAGCAAUCAGCUGCAGUGAGGUUGGAGAUGUGGUGACUUCAUGCAAAGUGUCUAUAUGGUAAAAUGCCGGGGUGCCCACUAGACUUUCUGUGCCCAAUAGUGGUUUAAACAUGCACAGUGAUCUCCUUCCAAAAUCAUGCAUGGAUUAAAAAAACAAGUUUAUAAGACGCUCUUAAGAUUGAGCAGGAAAAUAGCUGUAAUCAAAAUGGCACCUUGCAUUCAGCCUUUUAUACCAAAGAUGAGUUUUGCCUGCCAUGGGAUUGAAAUAACUUACAGAACAGGCUGCUGUUGGGUUCAAACAUCGGCAAGGGAGGGCUCAUUUUUCUCGAGUGGUUGUUAUGAAAGUAGAAUUUUGAGGAGACUGCUCCUUCCUCUGGGCUUAGAAAGACUCGGUUUCUGCGUUUAAUUAUGCAUGCUUGUGUGAGUUUUAAAUCUGCAAUGUUGUCUGCAACCUGCCCCUCGUUUGACCUCUUUUUUGUUUCCAAGCUCUUCCAAGCAUCUUGGCAUCCAGAUGAGCCCACAACCAUGUCAUAUGGCUUUCUAUUCCUACGUGAGUUCCCUCUCGCAUUUCAUGUAGGGUUCAAAGCCAUUGGACACACAGUGGACAGUCAACAAAAGGAAACUGUUGUUUUGGAAAUGGUAAAUGUGAAAAAGGCAUCACUUUCAACCUUCAAGGUACGCAAAACUCUUCUACUCUGUCACAUCAUUCUCACCGUCACACAAUGAUUCAUGAAAUAAAUGGACCGGUGUCACCAAAGACAUUUCAAACCACAGGUCCACACAACAAGUUUCCCCUCUUGGAAGUGAUCCCCUGGAGUCUAAUGGCCUUGUUAAGCGAUACGGCUUUUUUGUCGUUCACGGUGGUCACGGUCAGACUACCAGAUAAAUAGCCUUCUGUGUCUUAAUUCGGUGAGAUAUAAGUCUGUCGCCGACCAGAUUCUGUCCAGCCUUUGCAAUUAAGCAAAUCCUUACCGAUUGUCUGACUCACAAUGAAUGGGAAAACUUGUCAUUUGUAGUUUGGGUUUGAAAUACAGGUACCGGUCCUACAGCCAUUCUGAACACCUCAUAGUCACGACAAAAAGUAACAUCACAUUCCAAUUCUGGGGUUGCCAUAGAACACCAGCUUUCAUUGGCUACAUCAUGUAUACCAGGACCUACCGUAAUAUCGGAUUUUGCACGUCCAUCAAUAGUGUAGACUUUAUAGUCCUCAUCCCUCAAAUAGAUGUUCUAUUUGGUCAUCCAACAUAAGGCAAAUACAGGCACAUGCCUCUUUCCGUAUGCAAGUACAAUGAGCUCAGUACAAAUACUCCUGGGCAUAUAUGUCUUAACUGCUGACGACAACAGCAGCAGCUAGGAAUGCACGUAACGGUCGGUGAAAUAGUUGAAAGGGUGGACACUCGCCACAUGUAAUGUAAAUAAAUUCCCUUGGCAGGAUUCAAGAUGACCUCCCGUAUGGUGCUGAUGGCGUACCUUCCAAAGUAGACUGCAUGAUAUUCUGAUUCCACAGCUUAGUAUACAGCAUGUGUACAGUACACAGACCGUAUACAGUACAUUCCUCCAUAGUAGUCCAUUUUCUUUGAAACUCCACUUUCACUUGAUUUGGAUUGUAAAACUCUGCUAACAUUAUUGAAUAUUGAUCAAAAUAAAGUCUUCCACCAAGUCAUUUUGUUUUUGAAAUAGCUUUCAUGGCAUGCCUGUUAUUAGGACAUUUGUGUGACAAACAUGCCACAUACACUCUUUGUUUCAGGGGGUAUGCUCUGGAUUUAUCAAAACAAACAAAGAAACAAACAUUGGUCGUAACAUGGUUGGCAUGUUUGCCUGUGUUUGACUCCUCCAUGCUGGUGCUUGUAGGUUCCCAGCAGAAAGGGGAGUUUGAUGAAGAAAAUAAAGAAGAGGACAGUGAGCCUUAAAGCAUGAAGAGUUUGGAUGUUAAAUAUGAUGAAAACAGGCGAGAUAAAUACAUUGCAGCUGCCAAAUGAUUUACCAAAUGUUAACUCAUUUACAACUGAAAAACAAAUUUCCAAAGGAUAUAUAGCGCAUCGCGCUGAGUUUUGUUUUUGUAGCUGUACGGGUUAUGGGUGUCACGUUGCAUGGUGGUGGAGGACCCCAAAAAGCAGGCAGGUGGGAGAGGAGCAGGUUGUACUUGACGAGCUG